CUACGGGGUGCACCAGUGGGGAAUAUUGGGCAAUGGAGGCAACUCUGACCCAGCAACGCCGCGUGAAUGAUGAAGGUCUUCGGAUUGUAAAGUUCUGUGAGGAGGGACGAACAAAUGACGGUACCUCCUGAGGAAGCCACGGCUAACUACGUGCCAGGCAGCCGCGGUAAUACGUAGGUGGCAAGCGUUGUCCGGAAUGACUGGGCGUAAAGGGAGCGUAGGCGGUCUGUCAAGUUAGAAGUGAAAUCCCGUGGCUUAACCACGGAACUGCUUUUAAAACUGAUGGACUUGAGUGAUGGAGAGGAAAGCGGAAUUCCUAGUGUAGCGGUGGAAUGCGUAGAUAUUAGGAGGAACACCAGUGGCGAAGGCGGCUUUCUGGACAUUAACUGACGCUGAGGCUCGAAAGCGUGGGGAGCAAACAGGAUUAGAUACCCGGGUAGUC
rnacentral:rRNA from 1 species